GACAGAGGGUGCAAGCGUUAAUCGGAAUUACUGGGCGUAAAGGGUGCGUAGGCGGACCUUUAAGUCAGAUGUGAAAGCCCCGGGCUCAACCUGGGAACUGCAUUUGAUACUGGAGGUCUAGAGUAUGGUAGAGGAAAGUGGAAUUUCCGGUGUAGCGGUGAAAUGCGUAGAUAUCGGAAGGAACAUCAGUGGCGAAGGCGACUUUCUGGACCAAUACUGACGCUGAGGCACGAAAGCGUGGGUAGCAAACAGG
rnacentral:rRNA from 1 species